CCGGGCGGAGGACAUUGU
rnacentral:snRNA from 1 species